GUGCUGGCUGUAGCUUGAACUGGAGGUCUGGAGCAGAAAAAUUGCACCGAGGUAGCAGGUGGAUGAUGGUGUUGGUGCCUUUCUCUUGAAUUGUUGCUGGUGAUGGCUGCAAUUUAAAGGAGUAUUUUUUUCCUUUCUCUCCUUCCAUUUCUGUAAUUGUGCUUCCCCUAUGCGUGAUGAUGUUUCUUAGCACAAGGUGCAUUGGCUUGGGUUGAUCUGCUGUGAUAGUUCGGAGAGAUGAUAGUAGCAAGUAUAAACUCUCUACUAUGAUUAUAUUCAUAACACAUGGCAAAAAAGAGACUGCAUUAUUAAGUAAUCUGUUGUUUCGUUAUCAUUCUAAUUCUUUUUUAGCCACUAUACAUGUGUCAUGUAUGAGAACUUGAUAGAUAUUUGCUUAUCUGUGUCCAAGUGAUUACAGCAUAUAAUAAAGCGGGGAAAACAAGAUUUAUAUUGAGCAUUGUUUUUAAGGCGGUAAGGCGACCUAAGGCGAGCACCACCCGCUCUAGCGCCUAGGCGACGCCUAAGGCGGGCAUAUUUGUAAGGCGCUGCCCGGGCGCCUUAUCGCUUAAGUGUCGCCUAAGCGUCCAAUGCAGGACGCCUUAAAAACAAUGAUAUUGAGCUAUUAUACUCAUUUCUUUUAUUGGACUUGCUCAAACUUGCAUGAUUUUUUUGUUAGUAGUUGCCUUGUUCCUGCUAUUGGACUUGCUUAAUGGGUCGACGGGCUGUUUGUAUCCACUAUUUUAUUUUCUUCGGAAAGCAAGCUAAUGAGUUGGCUGCAGAAUCUAUGGAAAUUGUCUACAAACCCAGUAUGAGUUGCUGCCUUUUAAUCCCUUCUCUAAAGAAAACCUGGUUUGCUUGGAUAUAAUAUGCAAUUUGCUUAGAUUAGAGCACAACUUGCCUGCAAUAACUAAAGCAUUUGUCCAUGGGACACAACACAACUUGAUGUUCCGCAUAAUAUAGGUCCACAUUUAUUUGCCUGAAACUUGUAUGCAAAUUGCCUACAAACCAAGUUGUAGUUGCUCCUGACUUUCGCUAUUUAUUUUAAUUCGGCUAGCAAGCUGAUGAGGUUGCUACAUUAUCUAUGGAAAUUGCCUACAAACCCAAUACGAGUUGCUACCUUUCAAUCAUUUUUUAUAUGUGGUGCAUAUACUGGUUAGUAGUCUCCAUGUGUUUGUUAUUUUUUCAUAAUAAUUGCCUCAAAUUUUGUAUGUAGUUGCCUCAAAUAACACAUGAACCUUGCUCUUCAUUUAUUUUCCUUAACAUUUCAUAAUAAUUGGGGUAAUUUUAUACUUGAAGUUUAAAUGUGACAACACAUUAUCAUUGUAUGUUUUAUCUCUUGUUUUGCUACAUUGGGAUUUUUUUUAAUUGGGGGUGCCGAAUGGGGGUAUUCUCCCCCCUGUUUUUUACAGCCACGUGCUUUCAUUUUUGAGGCGCCUCAUGUCAACGACAACACAUGCCUCAGAUGAUUUUGUCCAUGAUGAUCUGGGUACGUUAACAACAACAGAUGCCUCAGAUGAGUCAUGUUUUUGUUAUUUUUCAGUGCGCAUUGGAAGGCGAUUCGCCUGUUUUUUUGGGUUUACUUGCCUGAAAUUGGUAUGUGAGUUGCCAGUAUCCGAGAGACGAUAUCCAGAAAGUCAUCUGAAUGCACUCUUUUUCUUUUUGUGUAGUAGGAACUAAUGGAUGAACCAAGCAAAAAUGGCAUUCAAGAAGAUCAUUAUGCAGUUAAUCGUGAUGCUGAUCCCUCACAUGUGAUUGAAGAUCAUCACGAGGUGUGUCCGAAAAAAGAUUCAAUAAACUUGUUGUGUGUUCUUUUAACUUGUUGCGUGUUCUUGUUGCAGGGCCAGAGAAGCACCCUUUAUUGGGUACCAGCGUUGAGGAAGAAAGGAGAUUGCUGCCAGUGGCAAACGUCUGUUGGACAUCAACAGCAAUUCGAGUGUUUCCACAUAUGGUGAUUGAAAUUCUAAGAAAGACACUGUCGUGGAACAACCAUCAAAAGAAAAAUGUCAAAAGACCGGAUCUAACGAGAAUAAGAGGACAGGGCAUCGCCUGCAAGGCUUUUCAAGCUGAAUAAACUUCUUGUACCUGUUCAACAAGGCCAAGCUCAAGUCACUUUCAGUCAAUUUCUGACACCAG
rnacentral:rRNA from 1 species